UGGUGGGAUUUUAUCCCAUGUAACCGAACAAGGCCUUAGGGCUCCUUUGGCAGCACAGGAUCCCGGCAGGAUCCCGAUCCAAUCCCUGGCCACGAAAACCCCGGGCCAAAUCGCCCCCGCGAACUUUUUUUCGCUAUUUGGUGAGCACGCUUCCCGGCCCUCACCGCGGGGGAGCUCGGUGAUUUCGCUCCCCACCUCAGCAGGUCGGGAAGAGCUUCCCUGUCCGCUCUCACGAAGCCUCCUCCUCCCCGUCUCCCUCGCAAAGCCACCGCCUCCUCGUCUCCCUCUCGAAGCCGUCGCCGCCCACUGCCUCGCACUCUCUUGGACUGGAUCUGUCGUCGUCCGGUGAUUUUGCUGAACACGAGCACUUCCUGCUUCCUGGCACCGCGCGCUCGGCAACAGAUCUCCCUCCUCUUCGCUGGAGCCUGGGCCCGAGGAUCCUGCAAGCCGGCAGCUGGAGAAAGGCGAGCGACAUGGCGACCUCCACAAUGCGGCUGGUGAAGGACGAGAAAGGUGAGCACCUUAGCCUUGUCACAGAUAUUUUUCUUUUUCAUCGAUUAUUUUUCUUUUUCCAUCAAUCAUCGGUGGCUAGUGACCCGCUGCACCCUCUUUAUUUCUUUUCUGAAGCUGAAAACAUGCAUAUCUGUGAUGCAUAAUAUAUAUAUUAAUUUUUGACUAAACGAUGACACUUGCUUAGUUGGGAGCUAUUUUACAUGUGGAUUCAGUCAUGGCCUUUCACGUUGUGUGUAGCUAGCCUCCUGAAUUCACUUCUUUAGCUAAGAUAUUUCUGUAGAACGGCCACCAAGGCUAGGCUGGUUCAGUAGUCCAUGAUUUUCACAUUGUGUACAACCUCUGACCUCAGUUCUAAAUCUAGUACAAAGAUUUAUUGCAGAACACCAGUAUGCCCGGGACUCUGUUCUGCUAAUGCGUUUGUGCCAUGUGGAGUAUUUGCUUACUCUAUUCUAGCUUUUGUAAUAAAGUAUAUUGGAUGAUGUCCCUAGCAAGUUUACUAUCUAAAGAUGUGGACAGUGUAUUUUCUAUUGCGUUUUAUCUAUUCUUUUGAUAUGA